rnacentral:rRNA from 1 species
UACGUAGGGCGCAAGCGUUAUCCGGAAUUAUUGGGCGUAAAGAGCUCGUAGGCGGUUUGUCGCGUCUGCCGUGAAAGUCCGGGGCUCAACUCCGGAUCUGCGGUGGGUACGGGCAGACUAGAGUGAUGUAGGGGAGACUGGAAUUCCUGGUGUAGCGGUGAAAUGCGCAGAUAUCAGGAGGAAUACCGGUGGCGAAGGCGGAUCUCUGGGCCUUACCUGACGCUGAGGCGCGAAAGCUAGGGGAGCGAACAGG